CGCGUAGGCGGUCUUGUCGGUCAGAUGUGAAAGCCCGGGGCUCAACCCUGGAAGUGCAUUUGAAACAGCAAGACUUGAGUACGGGAGAGGAAAGCGGAAUUCCUGGUGUAGAGGUGAAAUUCGUAGAUAUCAGGAGGAACACCGAUGGCGAAGGCAGCUUUCUGGACCGAUACUGACGCUGAGGCGCGAAGGUGUGGGUAGCGAACAGGAUUAGAUACCCUGGUAGUCC
rnacentral:rRNA from 1 species